rnacentral:rRNA from 1 species
AUUGAACGCUGGCGGCAUGCCUUACACAUGCAAGUCGAACGGCAGCGCGGGAGCAAUCCUGGCGGCGAGUGGCGAACGGGUGAGUAGUGCAUCGGAACGUGCCCAGUUGUGGGGGAUAGCCCGGCGAAAGCCGGAUUAAUACCGCAUGAGACCUGAGGGUGAAAGCGGGGGAUCGAAAGACCUCGCGCGACUGGAGCGGCCGAUGUCAGAUUAGGUAGUUGGUGGGGUAAGGGCCUACCAAGCCUGCGAUCUGUAGCUGGUCUGAGAGGACGAACAGCCACACUGGGACUGAGACAGGGCCCAGACUCCUACGGGAGGCAGCAGUGGGGAAUUGUGGACAAUGGGCGCAAGCCUGAUCCAGCCAUGCCGCGUGCGGGAAGAAGGCCUUCGGGUUGUAAACCGCUUUUGUCGGGGAAGAAACGGCCUGGGCUAAUACCUUGGGCUAAUGACGGUACCCGAAGAAUAAGCACCGGCUAACUACGUGCCAGCCGCCGCAGUAA